rnacentral:siRNA from 1 species
UGGUGCAUCAAUUGCCCACAUC